CACGGGCCUGAGGCGCCGCCGAGGCCGCUGGGCCCAGGCUCCUAGGGCAGCCGGGAGGGCUCCUGAAGAGCAAGAGGCUGCAGGAAUGCAGAGGAUGGUCAGGUCUGGGAAAAAUGGGCUUCCAACCCUCCCUGGGGUCGAGGAAUUGGGGUGAGCACUGUGGGGAGCUGCCCUCCUCCCUCCUUUCCUGCACUCCUCAGGCUUGACGAGGGCACCUGGGCCAGCAGAUUCUCUACCAAGGUGAGCUGAAUGGCCCGAAGACUUGAAAGAAGGACUGGCGACUCCGGGGACUCUGUGGGAGCCUGCAUCCUCCCCUGCAUCCUCCCCUGCAUCCUCUCCCUGUACCUCCCCUCACCCCUGUGGGUGGUACUCCACUCCCCACAUCCCCUGUCCUCUUCAUUCCCUGUCUUUCACCCACCUGUUUCCCUCUUCUGCUUUCUCCGCAUCCCUACUCUUAACGAAAGUAGCUCCAACAAAGAAAUAUUCUUUAAAUAAGCAUCAUGAAUAUGGAAUCAAAUUUGAGAUUACUGUAUAUUAAGAAACCCAGCGUUGACAUUUCUGUGCCUCUUGCAAAGGCAAGUUCUUCUACUCCGUGGCAUUAAUUUGAUGUUGGUGUGGCCUGGUCCAUCCUUCCCUGUGGUUCCACAGCCUGCACCAGACAGAACAGGCUCCCCAUCCGAUAUAAACAGAGGAAACACAUUCUCAAAGAUAGCAACCUCAUGCUGUUAUUUUAGCAGCAGGAGCCUCCAGGUAUUUGUAGUUUUAAAAAAGUAUUCAAGAGAGCUCCGCAAACUGGUUAAGGAAGCCAUUGUGAGGUGGAAGGGACAA